GACGAACCGUCCAAACGUUAUUCGGAAUCACUGGGCGUAAAGCGCACGUAGGCGGACUCUUAAGUCAGGGGUGAAGUCCUGGAGCUCAACUCCAGAACUGCCUUUGAUACUGAGAGCCUUGAGUUCGGGAGAGGUGAGUGGAACUGCGAGUGUAGAGGUGAAAUUCGUAGAUAUUCGCAAGAACACCAGUGGCGAAGGCGGCUCACUGGCCCGAUACUGACGCUGAGGUGCGAAAGCGUGGGGAGCAAACAGG
rnacentral:rRNA from 1 species